rnacentral:piRNA from 1 species
UACAAAGAUCAAAAAAAGCAGUGAGUGU